UACGUAGGGUGCGAGCGUUGUCCGGAAUUAUUGGGCGUAAAGAGCUCGUAGGCGGCUUGUCGCGUCGGAUGUGAAAGCCCGGGGCUUAACUCCGGGUCUGCAUUCGAUACGGGCAGGCUAGAGUUCGGUAGGGGAGAUCGGAAUUCCUGGUGUAGCGGUGAAAUGCGCAGAUAUCAGGAGGAAUACCGAUGGCGAAGGCAGGUCUCUGGGCUGACACUGACGCUCAUGCACGAAAGCGUGGGGAGCAAACAGG
rnacentral:rRNA from 1 species